rnacentral:lncRNA from 1 species
GGCGUGGUACUAUGCUACUAUCGACUGUGGAGGGAGGACUGUGACGUUCCGCGAGCCAGGCCAGGAGGAGUUCACCUUCAGAGACUGCAGGAGUACUUUGUUUGCCACUUGGAUAUCUUCGGCGAGGGCUCGACAGCUGAUGAGUAGAGGAUGCGUUGCUUUUUUGGCGACUGUGACAGAGGUGCCUACGGCGGCGCUGGGACUCGAGGAUAUUCCUAUAGUCCGC